rnacentral:lncRNA from 1 species
UGUCCGGAGAGUAGUAGGGAGACGUGGUUAAUGUUGUACUCGACUGGAUCUCGCGUUAUCAGGAUAGCCGCAGUUCGGCGAGAACUCUAUAAAGGGGACUCAUUAUGGGGGGACCCAAACUAAGCCCCCUCCCCAUAUUUAUGUAGUGUCCAAAGCACAAUUUAAGCCCCCCCCCCCCAAUUAAAAGAGGGGAGUGUGGUACCCCCAGUGCCCCCCAUAUUUGGGGGUAUUAUGGGGGUAUUAUGGGGGUCUUAUGGGGAGUCUUAUGGGGGUAUUAUGGGGUGGGGGUCCCCUACAAACAAGGCUGAUAUUGGGGGGGUCCCAAACUCCCCCCCCCCCAAUUAAAACAGGGGUGCCUCGUACCCCCAGUGCCCCCCAUAUUUGGGGGUCUUAUGGGGAUAUUAUGGGGUGGGUGUCCCCUACAAACAAGGCUGAUAUUGGGGGGCUCCCAAACUCCCCCCCCCAAUUAAAACAGAGGUGCCUGAUACCCCCGUUGCCCCCCGUACCUGGGGGUCAGCGCCCCUGCGUAGCUGAUGGAGUGGGGCAGCCCGGGGGGGGGGGGCUCUCGGCGCCGUGUGUGUUGUGGGGGGGGCCAGGCCGGGGGCUGCGGCCUCGUUGUGGUUGUUGUAUUUGGGGGGGGGGCGUUGUGUGGCCCCCCCGUGUGCCGCAGGUACCAAUCCCGCAGCCCCUCCAGCGCCAUCCACUUCUGGCUGCGCCGCUGCUCGGCCGAGGGGGGGGGGGCGCAGCGUCCCCAGCCCCCCUAGGACCCCUUUAGACCCCCCCCAUCGCCCCACAGACCCCUUUAGGACCCCUCUUAGCCCCCCAUAGACCCCCUUUAGCCCCACAUAGACCCCCUUUAUCCCCCCAUAGACCCCUUUAUCCCCCCAUAGACCCCCUUUAUCCCCCCAUAGACCCCCUUUAUCCCCCCACAGACCCCUUUUAUCCCCAUAGACCCCCUUUAUCCCCCCACAGACCCCCUUUAUCCCCCACAGACCCCCUUUAUCCCCCACAGACCCUUUAUCCCCCCAUAGACCCCCUAUUAUCCCCCAUAGACCCCCUUUUAUCCCCCCAUAGACCCCCUUUAUCCCCCAUAGACCCCUUUAACCCCCCAUAGACCCCCUUUAUCCCCCCAUAGACCCCCUUAUCCCCCAGACCCUUUAGCCCCCAUAGACCCCUUUAGCCCCCCACAGACCCCUUUUAGCCCCCCAUAGACCCCUUUACCCCCCACAGACCCCCUUUAUCCCCCACCAGACCCCUUAUCCCCCCACAGACCCUUUAUCCCCCAGUAGACCCCCCUUACCCCCAUAGACCCCUUAUUCCCCCCAUAGGCCCCUUUAUCCCCCCACAGACCCCUUUAUCCCCCCAUAGACCCCCUUUAUCCCCCCAUAGACCCCUUUAGCCCCCAUAGACCCCCCUUUAUUCCCCAUUAGACCCCCUUUAUCCCCAUACACCCCCUUUACCCCCCACAGACCCCUUAUCCCCCCCCCGACCCCCUUUACCCCCACAGACCCCCUAUCCCAUAGACCCCUUUAUCCCCCAUAGACCCCUUAUCCCCCCAUAGGCCCUUUAUCCCCCACAGACCCCCUUUAUCCCCCCACAGACCCCCUUUAUCCCCCCACAGACCCCCUUUAUCCCCCCACAGACCCCUUUAGCCCCCCAUAGACCCCCUUUAUCCCCCCAUAGACCCCCUUUAUCCCCCAUAGACCCCCUUUAUCCCCCAUAGACCCCCUUAUCCCCCCAUAGACCCCUUUAUCCCCCAUAGACCCCCUUUAGCC